rnacentral:rRNA from 1 species
GCUGGCGGCAUGCCUUACACAUGCAAGUCGAACGGCAGCACGGGAGCAAUCCUGGUGGCGAGUGGCGAACGGGUGAGUAAUACAUCGGAACGUGCCCAGUUGUGGGGGAUAGCCCGGCGAAAGCCGGAUUAAUACCGCAUACGACCUACGGGUGAAAGCGGGGGAUCGCAAGACCUCGCGCAAUUGGAGCGGCCGAUGUCAGAUUAGGUUGUUGGUGGGGUAAAGGCCUACCAAGCCGACGAUCUGUAGCUGGUCUGAGAGGACGACCAGCCACACUGGGACUGAGACACGGCCCAGACUCCUACGGGAGGCAGCAGUGGGGAAUUUUGGACAAUGGGGGAAACCCUGAUCCAGCCAUCCCGCGUGUAUGAUGAAGGCCUUCGGGUUGUAAAGUACUUUUGGCAGAGAAGAAAAGGUAUCUCCUAAUACGAGAUACUGCUGACGGUAUCUGCAGAAUAAGCACCGGCUAACUACGUGCCAGCAGCCGCGGUAAUACGUAGGGUGCAAGCGUUAAUCGGAAUUACUGGGCGUAAAGCGUGUGUAGGCGGUUCGGAAAGAAAGAUGUGAAAUCCCAGGGCUCAACCUUGGAACUGCAUUUUUAACUGCCGAGCUAGAGUAUGUCAGAGGGGGGUAGAAUUCCACGUGUAGCAGUGAAAUGCGUAGAUAUGUGGAGGAAUACCGAUGGCGAAGGCAGCCCCCUGGGAUAAUACUGACGCUCAGACACGAAAGCGU